CGAUGGGUAGGGGUCCUGAGGGGGAGAUCCCCCACACUGGUACUGAGACACGGACCAGACUCCUACGGGAGGCAGCAGUGAGGAAUAUUGGACAAUGGGCGCAAGCCUGAUCCAGCCAUGCCGCGUGCAGGAUGACGGUCCUAUGGAUUGUAAACUGCUUUUAUACGAGAAGAAACACUCCUACGUGUAGGAGCUUGACGGUAUCGUAAGAAUAAGGAUCGGCUAACUCCGUGCCAGCAGCCGCGGUAAUACGGAGGAUCCAAGCGUUAUCCGGAAUCAUUGGGUUUAAAGGGUCCGUAGGCGGUUUAAUAAGUCAGUGGUGAAAGCCCAUCGCUCAACGGUGGAACGGCCAUUGAUACUGUUAAACUUGAAUUAUUAGGAAGUAACUAGAAUAUGUAGUGUAGCGGUGAAAUGCUUAGAGAUUACAUGGAAUACCAAUUGCGAAGGCAGGUUACUACUAAUUGAUUGACGCUGAUGGACGAAAGCGUGGGUAGCGAACAGGAUUAGAUACCCUGGUAGUCCACGCCGUAAACGAUGGAUACUAGCUGUUGGGAGCAAUCUCAGUGGCUAAGCGAAAGUGAUAAGUAUCCCACCUGGGGAGUACGUUCGCAAGAAUGAAACUCAAAGGAAUUGACGGGGGCCCGCACAAGCGGUGGAGCAUGUGGUUUAAUUCGAUGAUACGCGAGGAACCUUACCAAGGCUUAAAUGUAGAUUGACCGAUUUGGAAACAGAUCUUUCGCAAGACAAUUUACAAGGUGCUGCAUGGUUGUCGUCAGCUCGUGCCGUGAGGUGUCAGGUUAAGUCCUAUAACGAGCGCAACCCCUGUUGUUAGUUGCCAGCGAGUCGUGUCGGGAACUCUAACAAGACUGCCAGUGCAAACUGUGAGGAAGGUGGGGAUGACGUCAAAUCAUCACGGCCCUUACGCCUUGGGCUACACACGUGCUACAAUGGCCGGUACAGAGAGCAGCCACUGGGCGACCAGGAGCGAAUCUAUAAAACCGGUCACAGUUCGGAUCGGAGUCUGCGACUCGACUCCGUGAAGCUGGAAUCGCUAGUAAUCGGAUAUCAGCCAUGAUCCGGUGAAUACGUUCCCGGGCCUUGUACACACCGCCCGUCAAGCCAUGGAAGCUGGGGGUGCCUGAAGUCGGUGACCGCAAGGAGCUGCCUAGGGUAAGACUGGUAACUAGGGCUAAGUCGGAACAAGGUAGCCGUACCGGGAGGUGCGGCUG
rnacentral:rRNA from 1 species